GCUGCAGUAAGGAAUAUUGCGCAAUGGGCGAAAGCCUGACGCAGCGACGCCGCGUGGGGGAUGAAGGUCUUCGGAUUGUAAACCCCUUUCGGGAGGGAAGAUGGAAUGGGGUAACCCAUUCGGACGGUACCUCCAGAAGCAGCCACGGCUAACUUCGUGCCAGCAGCCGCGGUAAUACGAAGGUGGCAAGCGUUAUUCGGAUUUACUGGGCGUACAGGGAGCGUAGGCGGUUCGGUAAGCCCUUUGUGAAAUCUCCAGGCUUAACCUGGAACAGUCGGAGGGGACUGCCGGGCUAGAGGACGGGAGAGGAGCGCGGAAUUCCCGGUGUAGCGGUGAAAUGCGUAGAGAUCGGGAGGAAGGCCGGUGGCGAAGGCGGCGCUCUGGAACGUUUCUGACGCUGAGGCUCGAAAGCGUGGGGAGCAAACAGGAUUAGAUAC
rnacentral:rRNA from 1 species